rnacentral:rRNA from 1 species
GACGAACGCUGGCGGCGUGCUUAACACAUGCAAGUCGAACGGACCUUCGGGUUAGUGGCGAACGGGUGAGUAACACGUGGGUGAUCUGCCCUGCACUUUGGGAUAAGCCUGGGAAACUGGGUCUAAUACCGAAUAGGACCACGCGCCUCAUGGUGUGUGGUGGAAAGCUUUUGCGGUGUGGGAUGGGCCCGCGGCCUAUCAGCUUGUUGGUGGGGUAAUGGCCUACCAAGGCGACGACGGGUAGCCGGCCUGAGAGGGUGACCGGCCACACUGGGACUGAGAUACGGCCCAGACUCCUACGGGAGGCAGCAGUGGGGAAUAUUGCACAAUGGGCGCAAGCCUGAUGCAGCGACGCCGCGUGAGGGAUGACGGCCUUCGGGUUGUAAACCUCUUUCAGCGCCGACGAAGCGCAAGUGACGGUAGGCGCAGAAGAAGCACCGGCCAACUACGUGCCAGCAGCCGCCGUAAUAC